rnacentral:lncRNA from 1 species
CUCACUUGAGUUCACACUCCGUUGCGCCAGAAAUCGCCUCUGGCGAAUGUGGAGGACCAAACUUCCAAAACCUUAUGUCAAAAUGCUCAACGUAACUCCAUCUCUCAUAAUCCCUCAUCUGUUCAAUAAUCUUUUAAAAACUGUUAGGAAGUUAGUUACAGUUAACGAUUAGUUAGUCUGUUAGAAACUGUUGAUGUUUGUGGAAUCAAGAAAAUUAGUUAUGAAUUUGAAGUUAUAGUUAGAUGCUUCUAGAUUGAAAGUUAGUGAAAUGUAUUAACAGAGUCAUGUGUUAGCUUGGAUUUAGAUUAAAGUCACUGGACAAUUAGGAAUUGUUAACUGUUAGUUGUUGUGUUAAAAUUGAAAUUAGUUAUAAGUUUGACAGUUAGGGUUAGAGGAUUUUAUGAGGAAGUUUGAAUUGUUACAGUUAGAUAUAUAACAUGUUGUUAGGUUGAGUUAGUGACUUGUUACAGUUAGGGUUAGAGGAUAUCAGGGUGAGUGCAUUUGUGUCAGUGCAUUGAAAUGAAUAUAUAUUGUUGUAUGUUGAUGUGUUACAAUGGGUGACGUUAAGACAUUUGAGCUAGUUUUUAGCAUUAGUUAAACUUGAAUGGAUUAAAUUAUAUUUGCAUUGAAAAACAGGGGUUGUUAGUUUGAAAAUGAGUUAGUUAUAUCAAAAUCAAAUGGUUAAUGUUAGUUAGAUGCAUGGUUGUUAAUAUGAUGAGCUCAUGAAUUUCCUACUGCAGUGCAAGUGUUUAAAUGAAUCUAAGUAUGAAUUGGAUGUUAGAUGUUAGAGACUGGAGGCUAUUAGAUCAGUAUGUGGAAUAUUUGAAAUUGAAAUGUCAUCGAAACUUACAUUACUAUGACACUUGAAGAUGAUGAUUUUAUGAACUAUUUGUGGCAUUAGUGAAUUAGAAUGUUAGUAAAUUGCCAUGACAUCAGCUCUAAAUUGAAGUCAAUAGGUUAAUGUGUUAGUAGAAUCACUACGCCAAAAAUGACUUUUAACAGCGCAUCUUAGACAGCGCUUUUAAAAGAAAGCGCUGUCUAAGGUUAAAAUAAAAAACAAACACGGAAAAUGUUCCAAGAAAAUAAUAAAAGCGCUGUCUAAUGGGGGGUUUAGACAGCGCUUUCUAAAAGCGCUGUCUAAGACCCCCCUUAGACAGCGCUUUUAGAAGCGCUUAUAUAUUAGACUUUAGACAGCGCUUUGGUAAGCGCUGUUAAAGUCUUUAAAUUAAAAAAAAAAUUAAAACCAAAAGCGCUGUCUAAGGGGGGUUAGAAAGCCUUUUGGAAGCGUUGCUCUAGGCAUACCUUAGAGGCGUUUACACAAAAGCGCUGUCUAAGGUCUUAUUAAAAUAAAAUUUCAGACCAAAAGCGCUUUCGUUCUCUGUUAUUUUGUUUUCCCUCUCUUCACUCACCUCAAAAACUUACGCCAUUUCCACAAAAGCGCUUUGUUUCCUUCUUCUCAACUCACACAAUAACCCUACCUUCUCAUCUCGGCGGCCGUGCUCACGUAUUUCUCUCUGGAAACAAACCUAAAUUUCUCACUGUACGGCGGUGCUCACGUAUUUCUUCUCACUAUACGGCAGCGAAACAAACCCUUCCUUCUCACUGUACCGGCGGUGCUCACGUACUUCUCACCAUAACCACACCUUGUAAGUCUCUUUCUCAAACCCUAAAUAACUUUGGUACCAAAUGCAUGUUGAAGUAGAGGUAUUGACUACAUGUAUUCAUUCUUGCAUAUGUGAAUGUUUAUGUUUGUGAGUGAUAUUUGAUUUUAUAUAAUGUGUUAUAGAUGAACAUUAUGUGUGAAACUCUUGCCCAUUUUAUAUUUUUCUGUAUUUUUCUGUAUCACAUGUUGCUUCUGUUGAAAACUCAGUCAUAUUUUUCUGUAUCACCAAUGUUGGUUCUGAUUAUGUGUGAAAACUCAGUUAUAUAUAAAGACCAAAUUUUGAGAUUUUGAAGUUUAUUCUGUGCUUAGGGUUGAAUGUUGGUUUUGAAGUUGAAUCAGUUAGUGUUUAGGGAAUUAAAGUGUUAGUUUGAAAUGUUAGUUAAGUUAGUAAGUUAGUGAAAAUAGUUAGUUGGUUAUUGAUAAUAUGAUUGUUAGUUGAGUGUGAUUCGAUAGUUAGCUAUGAAACUGUUAUUUAUGUGUCAGAGACUGUUAGAGAUUAAUUAGAACAGUUUUUGUAGUAGGACUGUUAUGAAAUUUGAAUGUGAUUCAGUUAGUUAUUAGGAAAGUUGGUUAGUCAUGUUUGAAUUGGCAAUAAAAUUAGUAAGUUAGUUAAUAUUGAAUGGACAAGGUUUAUUAGUGUAUUUUGAAAUCAGUUAUUGAAAUGCUAAUAGGAGUUAAAGUAGUAGUUAGUGUAUCAAUUUACUAACUCAUGCUAGUCUGAAAAGAACAAGUACAAGUUUGGUGACAGGUGAAUACUAGUUAGGAUGUUAAAUGGUUUUGGUGAAUGUAUUUUGAAAUCAAUUUGAAUGUUCAUUGAAACUACUAUGGAAUAAUAGUUUUGACCAGUUGAAUGUUCAAAGAUACUACUUAUUUAUGUAUUUUCGUCUAGAUUAAUUGUUUACUUAAUAAGUAGGAAAACAUGGAUAAAUGGAUCUGUGCGUCGAAUGACCAAGAGUACGAGAGUAGGUUUUGGAAUUCGUUAAGUAUGCUGUUCAACACGCUGACCCCAGACGAAUGCAUGUCCUUGCUUGCGUGUUGUUAUAUUGGUAAGGUUGACGCACAUGGAUUGAAAUCGCAUUUGCUGAGGCAUGGAAUUUGAUCAAAGUUAUCAGUGUUGGAUAUUUCAUGGUGAGAAAAUUAACGAGAAUGUUGAAUCGAGUGGAAAAAGUAGUACGACCUAAUGCUUCAUAGACAAAGACACGGAAAUACGAUUGUGAUCGAGUUGAAGAGAUUGUAGAAGCACUGGAAGAAGAUCUUCAUGAUUGUCCUGAAAUGUUUGAGAGGAUGGUAAGCGAUGCAGAGAAACCGUUGUACAAAGGUUGCACUAAAUUCUCAAGACUUUCUGCGGUAUUAAAGUUGUACAACUUAAAGGCGGGCAAUGGAUGGUCGGAUAAAAUUUCACAGAGUUGUUGGCCCUUAUGAGAGAAAUGCACCGAUGAUAAUGUUCUUCCUAAUCGAACCUAUGAGGCAAAAAAAAUGUUGUGCUCUAUUGGCAUGAGCUAUGAUAAGAUACAUGCUUGUCCUAACGAUUGCAUUUGUGUUUCGUAACGAAUAUGCAAUGUUAACUGAGUGCCUAAAUGCGGUUUGUCUGAUAUAAGAAAAGAUUAUCUCCCGCAAAAGUCUUAUGGUAUUUUCCGAUAAUUCCGAGAUUUAGGCGCAUGUUUCGUAGUGAACCGAUGCAAGACAUCUUACUUGGCAUGCAGAUGAAAGAAUUAUUGAUGGAAUGUAUCGGCAUCGCGCUGAUUCAACAGUGGUCGAAGAUUGAUAAUGAUUAUCCUGAGUUUGGAUCAGAAGCAAGAACCUUCGAUUGGCAUUAUCUACUGAUGGAAUGAACCACAUGGUCUUCAAAGUAUCUCACAUACCACAUGGCUGUGAUUUUAUGAUUAUAACUACCUCGUGGCUAUGUAUGAAGCAAGUACAUGAUGUUAUCUAUGUUCUCUGGGCCUAAACAACCAGGGAUGACAUAGACGUACUUGACACUCUGAUCGAAGAUUUAAAGAUUUUGUGGGAGAACGGUGUGGAGGUUUAUGAUGGAUAUAGGAAGAAAGUUUCAAUUUGAGAGCGAUGUUGUUUGCAUUAAUGAUUUUCCAGGCAUACGGAUCUAUCUGGGUAUAGCAUUAAGGUCAACGUGCGUGUCCUGUUUGUGAAGAAGAACCGAUACGAUUCGAUUGAAUUUGCCAGAAGAAUGUGUUUCUCGGUCAUCGUAGAUUCUUACAUCUCACACAUACCGUGGGUGGAGAAAAGCAUUAAUGGAGACACCGAACAUCGUAGAGCUCACCCGCAUUGUAAGGUGAACAAGUUUUGAAAAGGUGAAAGAUGUGCGUACUGAGUUUGGCAAGCUUUUUGCACAUAAGAUUGUGAAAGGUGGGUGGAAGAAAGGUCGAUAUUUUUUUGAAUUGCAUAUUAGAAGUCUUUGUACGUGAGACAUUUUCUCGAUGUUAUGCAUAUUGAAAAAACGUAUUUGAAAGUGUUAUCGGUACAUUACUCAAUAUAAAGGCAAGUCUAAGGAUGGCUUAAAGCAAGGGAGGACAUGUUAAAAAUGGGAAUGAGAACUGAAUUAGCACCCGUGAAGAAAGGAGACGAAAUAUCUACCCUGCUGCUUUUCUUUAUCUAGAAAGGAAAAAAAAUUUGUGUAAGUCUCUGAGUGAAGUUAAGGUUCCAGAAGGAUACUCAUCUGCUAUAUAGAAGACUUGUUUCUAUGAAAGACCUCAAGUUGAAGAAUUUAGACACAUGAUUGCAUGUUUAAAUGGAAAUUUUCUACCGAUAGGUAUCGUUCUAUUUUGCCAGAAAAAGUAAAGAAGUGCCAUAACUAAAUUGUGUUUUUUCUUUAGGUCAAUUUGUUGUAAGGUGAUCGAUCCCGAGAUCUACAACACUACAAAAAGAGAUUGUAAUUACCUUGUGUGAGCUUGAAAUGUAUUUCCUCCGUCUUUUUUUGACAUAAUGUUCAUUUAGUUGUUCAUCUUGUGAAAGAGACACAGUUGUGUGGACCAGCUUAUAUGAGAUGGAUGUACCCUGUGAACGGUAUAUGAAAUAUUAAAGGGUACGUGAAUCCCGAAGUCGACCAGAGGGUUGUAUUGUUGAACGAUAACUUGUUGAAGAAGCUGUUGAGUUUUGUACUGAAUAUUUGUCUAAGCUGUUCAAUCGAUUGGACUCCCCAGAGCUCAGAUUUUCGACAAAAUGGAAGGUAAAAAUUAAUUGGGAAUAAAAUUGUGACAAUAUCAAGGGAUGAAGGGUCAAAGUUCAUUUGUAUAUUCUUGCACAAUAAUAAUGAGGUUGAGCCAUAUGUUGAAAUGCACAAGGAUGUACUCCGAAGGUUAAAUCCGAACAGAAAUGAAAAUUGGAUAGUUAUAGCCAGAAAUCAAAGUUUCAUACAAUGGUUGAAGAUCAUAUUAUUUGAAGCGCUCUUCAGAUCUUCUCGGUAACAGAAAGGUUGAGAUGUUUGGCAUAUGGUCCAAGUUUGCAUGUGUUUUUCAUAGCGCAUAUUCAAUUAAUGGAUACACAUUUAUACCAAAGAACAAGAUGAUAAGAGUACUAUGCAAAAUAGUGGUGUCACCGUGCUAGCUGAAGCAAUGCAUAUAUCAAGUAUGAAGGACUUAAACCCAUAUGCAAAUUUGUCAUAUUUUGGAGUUAUUGAGCACAUUUGGGUGUUUGAUUACGAGAAGUUUCAGAUUCCAUCUUUGGUUGCAAGUGGUGAAUAGUAGUGGCAUACGAAUGGAUAGUCUGGAUUUUUGCAAGUUGAUCUUACUAGGGUGGGGUCAAAGAUGAACCUUUUUUUCUAGCAUCUCAGCUAAAGUGUUCUAUGUGAAUGACCGAGAGUACAAAAUGGUCUAUAGUGCUUUUCUCUAACAAAGUGACUGAUGAUAGCGGUGUCGAUCAAUGUGAUAUUGAUGUUGAGAAUGAGUCAUGCAUUAGACGGAAUGAGUUGAAUAGAAAUGAUGAAGUUGAGGAUUUAUCCGGAUGAUUUUAUAUAAGAAACGAUCAUAAUGAGGGAUUUGGAUCAAUUCUCCGUACGCAUUGCUAAGAAACAAGUGAUUAAUAUUCCAACAAAGAAAGGAGAGAUGUUAGUGACUUAGGUAAAUAUCAUGGUUUCUUUAUUUUUUUUUCAUUUGUUUUGAUAUAAGUUAUAUGUGAUAAUGCAUGAUUUCAUUAUAUUUUUGUUUUCAAUUGCUUUGAUUAUAAGUUAUAUCUGAUAAUGCAUGUUUCUUUAUUUUUUUGUUUUCAAUUGCUUUGAUAUAAGUUAAUAUUUGAUAUUUGAUGGUUUCUUGGUUAUUACAGGUUAGCAAGGCUGAUAACAACAUGAGGAAGUUAGUAAAGUAUCGCGCGAAGAAGAAAUUCGAAGAGGCAUCACAGUAAUGAGGGUGGUCCAAGGAAGAUCUCGAGGCAUCAUACUAGAUGUCUCUUGGAACAACCAGGGACAACUUAUAGAACCUAAUGGGCAUACCUUAACUAGUUUCAUCGGUGCCCUAGUAAGGAAUGAAUUCCCAUUACAUGUUGAUGAUUGGAGAAUAAGAGUUGAAAGAUCCAAAGAAAAUUUGAGUGAGAUAAGGUACAAUCUAUUUGGCCCUUAAUUAUGGGUAUCAAUUAUUUUUCAAUUACCGUACUAACUAUCAAUCUGUAUGUUUUCUUAGCGUGUUUUAACAUCGAAGAAGAAAGAAGAGGGUUUUGUAUGAAAUUGGCCGAAAGCUUCUUAGAGGUUUUCGGACAUUUUUCAUCCAAGUUCCUUAAGGAUGCGGAUGGUAAUUUUGUGGAUGCGGAGCUUCUAGAAAAUAUGAAAGUUUGAUAUCGGCUGAAGAAUGGGAGCUUUCAAAUCACAGAAAGACCACGACUUUUCAAAGAAUAAGUGCUACAAAUCGGGAAAGAGCAUCAAGUCCCGCAUAUCCGUACCGAAAGGACGUGUCGGAUAUGGCGCUUAGAAUCCAUGGUAAGUAUUUAUAAAUUGGCGAAAACAAUUUGUUCAUCAUAUAUUAGUUUUUCUGAUCAAUUUGUAUGACUUAAUGUGUAGCUGCAGAAGGAGGAAGUUCAGAAACAUUCUUCCUGCACAUGUUUUGUGGAAGGAAGCCCGUGUGGGCAAAUCUGGAGUCCACAGAGAAGUUUAAACGUAACCAGAAAUGUGUAAAGUUAAAUUUUUUCAUUAAUUGAAUAACAUUUUUAUACACAAUUAUUUGACAGUAUACGGUAUUCAUCUGAUUUUCAGGAGGAGCUAUCUCAGUCUCUAUCUCCCGAUGAUACUAAGAGCAUACUUAGUCGGGCAUUAGAUGUCCCUGAGUAUUUGGUCGGGUGAGGGGUAAGGGAUUUGGAGUCACUCCGACCUCCCUCAGUGUUAAAAAGGAAAGGCUCCUAGUAUCGGGAGCUUCAUGCAAGAUUGGAAGCAUGCAAGCUGAGCUUGAUGCAUUGAGGAGAGAAAGAGAGGCUAGGCCCUCAACGGUAUACAGAGAUGCUUCGGACAAAAACAGUAUCAACUGUACCUUUCAGCCGAACAUUCCAGAGGUAAUACUAUAAUUGUCUUAAAUUGAACUAUUUGCUUAAAUUAUGUAUUUGACAUUAUCACACAUUACGAUUUCUUGUUAUUUUGUUUUAGGGCAUUUCCCAUUGUCAGCUGUAUUGUCGUCACCAUACUUCGGAUGGUUGGCAAGGGAAAAGUGCAUCGUUAGCGGAGUAUUACUCCAACUAGGAGCUCCCUGCUGGAUGUUUGAAGGUAUCAGUUGAUAUUGCAGUUGAGCGAAUCGGCAUUACCAAUAUCCUAGCGAUGAUUCAGAUGCACACGGUGCACGAAGCAGUAGUUUCGUUUGUUCAUGGCCGACAAAACCUCAUAUGCGUAGGAUAUGAGGUAUGCUUAAACUUAUGUUAACUUUAAUGUGUAAUUCAAAGUUUAAAAUUAUGCUUAAAAUUUUACUUACAUUUUCUCUUGGUUAUGUUAAAUGACUCUCACAAAUCCAAAUCAAAAGAAAUGAGGUUAGCAAUGCUCCGCACACAAAAAAAGGAGGUUAGCAACGCCUCCGCACGGGUAAAAGUUCUGGUGCUAAGAAGACCGUAGCUAGGAAAAAACCUACCACAAGUAUAGGUCGUGCCUCAGGACAUUUAUAGAGAUGACGACUAUACCGACCGGAGGUGUUCGGAAUGUACAUGGAGGUAGGGAUUUUCGGCUUUGAUUACGACCAAUGAUUGGUAAUGAAGACUUCAUGCAAGUUUUUGGUCAUGAAGAAAUCGGCGUCAACGUUGUCAAUACAUAUAUUAGGUAAAUCCGGUCUACUUUGUUUUAUUAAUUAAACAACUUAUGUUAAUGAUGUUUCUUUUAUGUUAAUCCGGUUUACUUUAUGUUUCAAAAGAGGUGUUAAUGAUUUUUUUAUUAGGUUUUUGUAUGACAAAUUGAUGGCGCCCAAUGAUUUGGACGAGUCAUUCGGAUUCUAGCACCGCGACCGUCAACUUAGGUUUAAUCUUAAGUAGACCGCAUACCGUGACAGAGUAUGUUCUUCGGAUCCUCAUGGAGAAUAAAGAUGCGAGAAGUUGUUUUUUUAUACCGUUUAAUACCGGGUUAGCAUUUCAUUCUAAAUUCAUCUAUUAUAAUUAUUUUCCAAGUUACCAUCUAACAUUUGCCUAAUCAUUACAGUGGAUUGGUUUUUGCUCGCAUCAAUCCUAUCCGAGAAAUUGUGUAUUUCUGACUCGUUAGGAAUGAUUGGACAACAUACCGGAUAUGAAGGCUAAUUGACACGUAGUGAGAAUGUUUAAAAUUUUCUUAGUUUAUGUGAAAUUGUUCUAAUUGUUCAUUUUUUUAUUAGCGUCCUACAAGCUUUGGGCCCAACGAGAUAUCAACCUCAAGGAGGAGCGCACGCAUUACAUGUUAAAGUGGCGGUAUAUUUUUUUACCACAUUUUUUUAUAUUGUGAUGAACUUGAUAAACAGGAUUUAUAAUCCAUAUUUUUUUUUCAUGUGUGUCCUCAACAACGUAAUCAAAUAGAUUGCGGGUAUUUCGUGUUGAGGUUUAUGCGAGAUACUUGCUGUUGGGCCGAUUAGUGAUUCCACCGAUGUAUGGUAUUCUACUUAUGAGUUAUUUUUAUAUUUACAAUAUCUCAUAUAAUUAAAUAGUUGGAAUUAAUUCAAAAUGUAUGUUAUAUUAUAUUUGAGGAAUUCAAGUGUGGCAUUUUUAUCAAAGGAUCAGUGGACGAAUCAAAGAGGAGUGGUGUCAUUCAUGAUAGAGUCAAGUUUUUCAUAAUUUGUGUAUUAAUGUUACAUUUGUGUAUAUGUUGACUUGUAAUGUUACAUAAUUUGUAUAUAUUUUGAUACAUUUAAGGCAAAAUUGGUUGAAUUGGUAUAUAUAUAUUUUGUAGCCAAAAUUGUGUAGAAAAAAGGCCAAAUGGCAUGUAUAAAUGUGAUAACUGUCUGUCAAAAUUGGUUGAAAACAGGUAGAAUUCUGGUUUUAAACUGGAAAAUGUGGUAAAACAAAGCUCAAAAAUUUCGUAUACAUUAGACAGCGCUUUUGUAAAACGCUGUCUAAAGGGGGAUUAGAAAGCGCUUAGGCAAAGCGCUGUCUAAGGGGGGGGCUUAGACAGGCUUUUCAAAGGCGUGUCUAAGCCCCCCCCCUUAGACAGCGCUUUUGCCUUAAGCGUGUCUAAGGUUACCUAAAAAUUAAAAUAGGGGGGCUUAGACAGCGCUUUUUGAAAAGCGCUGUCUAAGCCCCCCCCCUUAGACAGCGCUUGGCCCAAAAGCGCUGUUAAGGUAUACCUAAAAAUUAAAAUAGGAGGGUCUUAGAAAGCGCUUUUGGCCAAAGCGCUGUCUAAGGGGGGGGCUUAGACAGCGCUUUUAAGAUUUAAAAAAGCGCUGUCUAAACCUUUAGCAGCGGAGGUUUAGACAGCACUUUAAAGCGCUGUCUAAGGCCAAAAAAAGCGCUGUCUAAGGUCUUGUUUGGCGUAGUGAAUGAACUCAAUUGAAAUUUGAUUGUUAUUAUGAUGUGUGAUGUUAGUUAUUUUUUGUAUGGUGAAUGCGACACAACGCCUGGACUGUUAAAAAAUGAAGUUAAUAUGUUAGAAAGAGUUAGUUUGAAAUUUGAAUGUUGGUUUAAUUUGUUAGGUUGUUAGUAAUGCCUUAAACGCAUACUGUUGGCGUUUGAACCUUAGUGUUUUAGAACAAAAAAUAUUAGUUGACAUAGGAUUGAAUGGUGGUGUUCCUUACAUCUGGUAUAUGUUGCAUAAUUUUGCAGGAAACAUUGAGAUGUAUGGGGUAAUGAACACUCUCAUCCCUAUGCCAGGCCAAACUCAAGACCAACCAUCAAGGAAGUAACUGAUUCAAUGGUGUUCUACAUUUGAAAUAACUUAUGCAUUGGAGCCUUCUACAUAUAAUGUCGAUGAACCUUCAAAAAGUAGCCUUUAGGUAUGAUUUGAACUUGUUCUAAUACUGUUUAUUUAUGUUAUUUAUGACAUAGAAAUCGAUAAAUGUUAUUGAUAGCUUAUGAAGUUAAAUUUAUGUCAAGUUAUGUUGAAAUGGAAAUCACCAAUUACAUUAGGUUAAUUGUUUGGAAUUUUGGGAUUGUUAGGUGGUAUUUGUAGUUAAUUUGGAAAGUAAAUUUGGAAUUUGAAUGUUGGUUAGAAAAGUAAUGAUAGAAUAUGAAUUUGAAUUGUAAUGAGGUCAGAAUGAUUUAUUAUUUUGGUGCCAUGUUAAUUGAAUUACAAUUGUUAUAGAAUUUGUGCUCUAUGUUUUGGAAAGCCCAUCUGCUAUGUGUCUUUUCCAUCAUGUUUUGAAUGAUGGUUUGUGUAUGUAGGAACGAAUUAUGACUAUAUGUGGUGUAUGCAUUGUAGGGCUAGAAUACACACCUAGUGAGAGUGAACUAAGCAUGGCAAAGUGCAUGGAGACAUGGAAAAGACAUGACACAUGGACACACCAUUAAAACUUGUGAAGAAUUUUGAACAAAAGUGGGAUACAUUAUAUGAAUGAAGAUGAAGUAAGAUUAAGGUCUAGGUAUUAGGAUUAGAAAGUUGACUUUGGUCAACUGUUUGACCAAAAAAGUAAGUUAUUGAUCAAAAGUCAAUUAUAGGUCAAAAAUGUGAUUUUUAUGUAAUUUGAUUUGGAUUCUUUUGUAAUGUAAUUUUGACAUGUAAUGUAACUGGCUUCCUUGAAUGGCAUAUAUAACUUAUUCU